GGGACGUAGCCAGCGGUCAAGGAUGAGUUGAUGAGCGAGGUGAGGUAGGGGAGAAGGUCUCCGGAAAUGGUCUGGAGAAGAGAGGAGGGGAUAGGGUCAAGUGGGCAGGUUGUUGGGCGGCCGGCCGUCACAAGACGCGAGAUUUCAUCUGGAGAGAGAGGGGAGAAAGAGAGGUGUUGGAUGAGAGCGAGAGGGAAAAGGAUACAAGGUAGUGGUCGGAGACUUGGAGGGGAGUUGCGAUGAGAUUAGUGGAAGAACAGCAUCUAGUAAAGAUGAGGUCAAGCGUAUUGCCUGCCUUGUGAGUAGGGGGGGAAGGUGAGAGGGUGAGGUCGAAAGAGGAGAGGAGUGGAAAGAAGGAGGCAGAGAGGAAUGAGUCGAAGGUAGACGUGUGGAGGUUAAAGUCACCUGACUUCCAGUUGUAUUACUGGGCAUCUCAGUUAAAGGCUAUGUGGGUAUGGCUAGAUACGUGUUCACCCUCUUGGAGACAGAUAGAGGAAUAGUGUCUUUCCUCUGUUUCAUUGGCAUCUAUACCUGGUAUUAGCCCCACCUAAAGCUUUGCUAGGUCUCACAAUCAACCCUUUCAUUAAAAACACUAAAUAUAUUGAUUGAAGUCCGUAAACAAACAGAAGGGGAUAGAUCUAUAUAUGAACAAACACCUUUCAAUAAUAACCCCAUCUCACCCAAACCCCUGAGAGAUGCUGUUAUAUUGUCUUGGUUCAACAAAGGAAAUAAAACAUUUGGUCAUCUGUAUAGAGAAGGUGAACUAAGUACCUACAGGUUAGACUUUAUAUUGCCACUCAACAGGGAGGUAGAAUUCAGUCCAUGAGUAAACCUAUAACUGACAAACUGUGGCUGGAGAGGAAAGAGGUAAAAGGUUUCAUUUGUUACAUGUACUCUAAUCUUCAAGCUCUUUUGGGGAACGAUGAAGCUCUGCAGGCUUGCAUGAAGUGGAAUGAUGAUUGAUGACCUUAGUCUCAUUUUUGAGGAUGAGAAAUGGGGAAAUCUCUUUUUAGAUGCUCAGUGACUCUAAUUUAACACAAUGUACAAUUUCAUGCAAUUCAACCUUUUACAUAGGGUCAACUUUACACCAGAGAGACUGUAUAAGAUAUAAUGCAUUCUGAAAGUAUUCAGAUCCCUUGACUUUUUCCACAUUUUGUUACAUUAUACUAAACUUGAUUCAAUUGUCAUUAUG
rnacentral:lncRNA from 1 species